AGCCAGCUUCCUGUGGAGGAGCUCCUUCGGCGCUCCGAGCUUCAGGCUGAGCUCCUCCAGAGUCCAGCAGCCUGGAGAACCACCGAGGACACCGAUCAAUAACACCGAUCAAUACUUCUGAUCAGCCUUCACAUUCAUAUGGGGUCGUACUUUUGUCCUGGAAGUGCAGGAUGAUGGCAGCCUGGAUGGGCGACACGGUGAGGUGGGUCAACGUUCGGUCCUCCAGCUCCACGUCCAGAGUGACGGAGCCCAGAUGAGGCUUCCAGCUCAGAGUCCUCAUGGCCUGAAACAAACACAGAAACAUCCAGAAAAACUGGAAAACUGCAAACCAGAGGAACUACGGCAGGAUUCUGGUGUUGGAAUAUCUAGAGAUUUUUGGACUCUGAAUAGACUGAUAAAUAACAGUUAAUUGAUAAUUAGCUGUUAACUGACUGAUAAUUGACUAUGAAUUGAUUGUUAAUUGGCUUAACACAUUGAUAAUUGAUUGUAAAUUGACAAUUGAUGGCUAAUUGAUUGCUAAUAGACUGAUAAUGGAUUGUUAGUUGACUGAUAAUUGCAUGAUAAUUAAUUAGUCAUUUAUUGUCAUGUUGUCAUUUUGUCUAAGCAAAAUGUGGAACAAGAAUCUCAUUAUUCUAUUUAAAGUCUUCAACAUCACACAGCGUCCUUGAACGCAUCGUCACUAAAACUGAGCUUCUGCUGCCAGUUUUACACAGAUUUUCAGGUUGCAGUGAAGUUAAAUUUAGGAAAUUGACUAAAAGAAAUGUAAAAUAGGCUUUGAGAAAUGACCCUAAACAGCUGAACCAUGUAAGAGCACCGCUGGUCUCAUCUCUAACAGAGUGGUUUCUCCACCUUGAGCUUCUCGUAGCGGUGGGUGUAGGCCUCCAUGGCCUGGCAGACCACCGGCGGCAGCUCCAGUUUCUCCUCCUUCAGCGGCGGCCAGAACUCCGAGGACAGGAUGAUGGAGGACAGCGACAGCGGCGGCUGAUCCUCCUCGCUCAGCCUCGACUCCUCCUCACGGAUGUUGCUGUUGAUCCUGCGAGAGUCGGCCAUGUCCUGAAGAAAUACGAGCUGCAGGACUUUUUGUUGUCAUGGUAAAUGAGCUACAGUCCUACCUGGCCGUGUUGUAGUUGACUUGGUGCAGCAGCCGGUCGGCCAGCACGGCUCGGUACUCGUCUAUGAAGAUGUCCUUGCUGCCAUAGAUGCUGACCAGCAGGCUGAUGAUGUCCGACGAGCGACGCUUCGAGCCCAUUUUAUCUGCAAACAUCCAGAGGAAACGCAUGAGUAGAGCCCAGCAGCAGUGUACGGACAACGGUGGUGCGUUCACUGACCGGGUACGGCGUCCGUCGGAUCUGGAGUCCAGUCCUCGGGGUCGUUGCCUUCCUCAUCGCUGUCCUGCAUCUCCAGAGUCACCGGGUCUCCUCUGGACAGUUCUGAUGCCAGAUCAGUGCAGCCUUCAGCGUCUCCAGUCAGACCGGCAAUGAUCUGCCUCACCGUGUCCUCACGAGUCCUGAACACACCACAGAGGCUUUUUAAACCUUAUGUGUGGUUCAUAAAGAGCUCAUGAAACAGAAACGGACCCGGAUGCAACAGUCGGCUUUCAAAAGCAGACUUGAGUGAAGUGAGGAGCUGCUGCCUCUGGUUGGUUCUCUCCAGACAGAACUUCAGAUCCUCAAUCGCAGCUUUGGAUUCUGGGAAAUCUGACAGAGACGGAAGAAAAUAUCCUGCAGAAAAACUGAUGCAUGUGACACCUCCACUGCUUCAAGACCGAGCUGGCAGCCGGGCCGGGCUGGACACCGGGACCACCGGGACCAGCUGGACCACCAGGACCAGCUG